AAACUUUCAACAAUGGAUCUCUUGGCUCUCGCGUCGAUGAAGAACGUGGCAAAAUGCGAUAUGUAGUGUGAAUUGCAGAAUUCAGUGAAUCAUCGAAUUUUUGAACGCACCUUGCACUCCUUAGUAUUCUAGGGAGUAUGCCUGUUUGAGCGUUAUUU
rnacentral:rRNA from 1 species